GGUUUAAGUACCAUGCCGAAUUCACACCUACUCAAUCAACAUUUCUAAGCCACUUAUAAGACAAAUUAUAAUUACAUAUCAUAAUUCAAAAUGCAUUCAACAUCUACUUCAUUUCCUAGAUUGAAUUACAAGACUAUUAAUCACAUAAGAUAUAUCUUGAAACUUACUUUCAAAAUAAUCUAAAUACAAGGCCGAUUCAUAUCUUAAUUAAAAUCAACAACAAGCCAUAUUUGCAUGGCUACAUAUAUAUAUUCACUUCAAAAUUUAGCCAAAUACACACUAGCCUAUACAUGCCAAAGAUUUAUAAUUCAAGCUUUUAAAAUACCAAAAUAACGGUCGAUAGUGUAAUGAACUUCCUUGGCGAUCCCCGAACUCGUAACUAGCUUUCUAAAAGUCUAUAAUACAUCAAAUGAAUACACACAACGUAAGCUUAGAGAGCUUAGUAAGUCGUAAGCAAAUAAAAUAUAUAUAUAGACAUUAACCACAUUUUUCUAUCUUUGGCCAAAUAUAAAUAGUCAUAUAUAUACAUAUAAUUUACCUUUUAUAACAUGUAUAAAUUACUUCAUUAUUUCGAGUACUUCUUACCAUGUUUCAAAUAAAAAUAAAACAUUUUAAUUUACAGAUGCAUAUACCAUUCAAAAACAAAAAGGAUACUCGAAUAUUUGCACGAAGCUUGUACAAUGCCAACGUCUCGGACGUGGUCUUACAUGUAAUUACAUAUCGAUGCCAUUGUCUCAGACAGGGUCUUACACGUAAUUAUAUACGAUGCCAAUGUCCCAGACAUGGUCUUUUACGUAAAUAUCAAAUCGAGCCAACAUCCUAGAUGUGGUCUUACACGAUGUCACAUUUAAACAUUUCUAUAGUUCGUAUAUCUUUCGAAUGUCAUAAAUCAACCAAGUAGAACUCAUAAUUAAUCAUCAAUUUUCAAAUACAAUUCAGCAUAUUAAAGUACAGCAAACACAUUUAGAUUUUGAAUGCCCUUUAAAUAAAUAUAGUAAUUUAAUUUCAACAAUUUACUUACGAACUUACCUCGGACGAAUGCGAACGAACUGGACAACUAUUUGGCAACUUUAGAUUUCCCCCGAUCCAAUUCUGAUUUCCUCUUUUCUUGAUCUAAAUUAUUACAAAUUUGUCUUGUUUAUUAACAUAUUCACUCAAUUUCAUCCACAAACACAUAAUUUGGGAAAUUUUCACUUUAUCCCCUAAAAUUUACUUUUUUUACAAUUUAGUCCAUAUUUAAAAAAACUCAAAAUACACACAAUUUAAAAAAAUUCCCUAGCUUGGCCGAAUCUUCCUAUAGCCCAUAUAAGCCUACAUAUUUCAUUUAUUUCACAUUUUAGCCCCUCCAUUUUUCAUUUUCACAAUUAAACUCAAAAUACUUAUAUUCAUCAAAAAUCUCAAUACAAAACAUAUUAAUCUAACACCUAUAUUUAAAAAUUCAGCAAUUAACAUCAUUAAAUUCAUAAAUUUAUCAAUGACCUAUCUCACAAUCUUCAUCCAAAUCAAAAAUUGAGGCAUGGGCUUAAUAAUAUGUUAAACAACAAUCAUAAAAACAUGGAAAUUAUCAAAAAUAAAUCAAAAUGCAUACCUUAAUCACCCAAAUUCAUGGCCGAACCCUAUCUCCAAUUUUUUUUUCUCUUUUCUUGUUAGUAUCGUCCAAAGAUGGACAU
rnacentral:lncRNA from 1 species